rnacentral:lncRNA from 1 species
UAUGAGGCCUGUUUCCCAUUUACAGUCUACUUAUCUUGAAUUAUCUUGUUCAACCUCAAAAGAGAUUUUUUUUUUUUUGUUGGUUGUUUUACAUAUGAAUGCAAUCUAUAUACAGUAGUUACUUGCGUAGAGCAGGAGAGACAUGCUGAAAUGUGAUUAUGCUUCUUUUUUACUCUCUUUCUUAUAAAGAAAAGGUAGAGUAUGAUGUCCCGAGGCGGCCGUGACUCACCUGUGCAAACAGGAGGUUGGAAAGACUGGUUUUAAAUCCGCCAAAUCCACCAUAUUCUGCAACUGACUGCCAGCUUUAUAUUCUUCCUUAAUUAACCACAAAUUUUAGUACUUAAGAACUUUGUCUGUGCCAUUCAUGAUGCUAAAGUUAAUUUCUUUUAAUUGCAGACAGUUAGUAGCUCUACAGAAGAGGAGGACGAGUAAUGUCUUGAUUUACUAGGAUUGAAAGUACAACUAGGGAGAGAGAAAACACCAUUACAGAAUAGGACCAGUGGAAACUAUACUUCCCAAAGGUCCUUUAUGUCACCUGUUGAAUACUGGGAUUGCGAGCCAUUGUGCAGUGAUUUACACAGGUAACGUUGGCUCCAGUGACCCCGGCUUGACAUGCACAGAGUUAACAGUGUAUUUGAUAUGGCUGCCUUUUUACUUUUACCAGAUUUUUCUGUCAGGAGAGAAGGCUUUGUGGCAGACAAUGCCUUUUGUUGGCGGGCACAAAGAAGAGGUUUCAAACAUCUAUUCAUGUUUCCACUGUGAUUAUGGCCCAUGGAUGUAUAAUUUCAUCAGAGAGGAAUAAAAUGUUUUCCAUCCAUCAAGCAUCAAAAAAGAAUAUAACUCUAAAAAUCAUUUCACUUGCUUACAUUGCUUAUUCAUGUGGGUGAUAUGUGUAGUUUGGUGCAGGUGUGCAAUGGAUUAUUAUAAUUCGGAGCUCAGGCAUAUUGUUUACUUCCUGCAUGUCAACUCUAACACUCCUGCAUGAGAGGGUACUGACAGGGAAGAUGUAGUCCAUGUGCAAUAUGUUUUUGCAUGUCCCAGCCUGGAAAUGCUUGUUCUUUGAGCUAAAUGUUCAAGACCUAAUA